GGUUGCCUGGAGUGGUUCUCAAUCAGAGGCAGGUGGUUAUCGUUGUCUCUGAUUGGGAACCAUAUUUUGGCAGCCAUAUUCUUUAGGUCUCUUGUGGGUGAUUGUUCCUGUUUCUGUGUUUUGCACCAGUUCGGACUGUUUUCGGUUUUCCACGGUUUCUUAUUUUGUAUUAUACAUUGUUCAAGUUAUCAUCUUCCUUAAAGAUGUUUAUAAAUAACCAAGCUGCAUUUUGGUCCGCCUCUCCCUCCCAGGAAGAAAACCGUAACACUAACUCAUUCUCUUCAAGGGAAAGAGAGCGUCCCUGAGGGGAAAUGUGUUCUGUUCACUAAGAUGCUCUUUUCUUUGUUAUAGGACGAGGCCAAGUUCAUCCGUACCUAUAAUGACUUUGUGGACUACCUGAGUGACCCUUCCAAGCGGAAUGACAUUGAAAGGGAGCUGGCUGAGGCAAAGAUCCAUCAUGUGAACAUGAUAGAUGUCCUCUUGAGCUGGUGCUGUUUGGGAUGAUGACAGCUCAGAAGUCCCUGAUGGUGCACCCUGGUGGGUUCGUGGAGCAUCUGUACGCUCUCCUGUACUCCUUCCUGCCCACUGCUGCCAACAUGGAGCCAGAGGCUGACAUAUACCUUCUGCUGAUCAAUGAUUCUUGUGACUUUGCCACCCAAGAGGGAUCGAGACACCAAUGCACUACAUUACAUGUCAAUUAAAAAUGUGGUUGUUGUGUUAUCCUGUUGUGCGCCUUGAGUGUCAGUCCCCUUAUGCCCAUUAUUCCAAUAUUUCUGAGCUCUGAAUUGACACAAUGAACACUUUUGCAAAGAUGUUCAGUUAAAAAUAAGAGUAUGAAUGACAAUAAAUGUAUGACUUGGAUUGUAUGCAUAAGUGUAGUAAAAAAUAUCGCUCAGCGUGGGGACUUCUGGUGUUAGGAAAGUAUCCGUUAUAAGUCUCCAUGGCACGCAUCACUUCAUUGUCUUGUUGGUAAUAGUGAAAAUGCAUGACAGUCCGCAUUGUAAUGGUCUAAUAGAUGUUCUUUUUGUUUCUCACAUUAAACAGACAAUUGAGAACGGAAUUGCUUACACUUGUACCUAUGACGCACAGACACACUAAAGCUGUACAGUGAGUUAUAAAGUCAGUUUCAAUUAUACAUAUACAUAUAUAUAUAUAUACAAUCUUGGCUAUUUGCAUAUGUAUGACCGUCCAAACUUGACCCCACACACAUACACACACAUUAAUGCUAAUCUCUCACACACAACAAGACACUGAAUGAGCAUUUUAUUCCAAGUGAGUUUGAAUUAAGACCCGAAGAAUGAAAUCAAUGUGUGGAUGUUGAUUGGACAAUGUAUAUGUGCUUUGCAGAAGCCAUUUUUUUGCAUUCCCUGUCGCGUGUAUUUUACUGGAGUAUGAUCAGAUUGCUUUGUUUAUACCAGAAUGAAGAUUUGAACUGAGAAACU